GGCCGCGUGGCGCAACUGAAUAGCGCAUCAGAUUUCGGCUCUGAGGGUUGCAGGUUUGAAUCCUGCCGCGGUCA
rnacentral:tRNA from 1 species